UGAAAUAUUACAGAGUAUAGUGUACCUGUUUGAGUUACCUGUUACCCAUACAUCUUCUCUAAGAACUUUCCUCUCCACAGCUUCCACUGAAGAUGUGAUCCCAGUCUGUCAUGUUUUAUCCACAUGACCUCACUGUUUCAGAGUCACAGAUGAUUGAACCCCUGAGAUACUCCUGUAUCCUGAAAAAUAUGACUUAUUGGAAAGGCAACUGGAUUGGGGACAGAAAAACUGAGUUCUAGUCUUGAGUCUGCCGUUAACUAGCAAAAUGAUGUAGGGCCAGCUGUCUCCAUUCCUCCGGUCGUCACUCAUCAAGAAAGGAUAAUCCCAAGGACAGCAGGAUCUGCUUCUUCACUUGAAUUUAGGAAUGAGAAACCCAUCAGGCAGCUAAACAGUAACAAUGACCUACCAUUAAACACACUGGGAGAAGAGCAUGACGAGUUUGUACAAGAAGAACCCAGGAGCACUUGCUGACGAUGCCUACAGAGAUGCUAAGCACUGUGAGCUCUGACCAUUGAACUGCAGCAAAAUAUGUCCCCCUCCCCAGAGAUGCAUGGAUGGGGGCACAGUAUCAGUUUAGAUAAUGGUCUCUGCAUGGACUUAGACGGAGAGGAUUUGGACUGUCAAGUCAGAUAGACCUAGGUUUGAGUUGUUAUUCUGCUACUUCUUCUAGUGUGACCACAUUUAAAAAUUGCUCUGAGCCUCAGUUUCCUUGUCUGCAAAAUAGGGCCAAAGCCUAGAAGAGGGCCUCUUAAGAGGAUAA